rnacentral:misc_RNA from 1 species
GGAAAAAAUAGGAAGACAGAUUUCUAUUAACAAAUGUGACAAAAUUGUCAACCCAAUUAAGGUACAAAAUUAUCACCCAAUUAAUGUAUAAUUAAGUAAUCAACAACAGCCUUUCAUGAUGUAGCUCUUAUUUAUUUGCCUAAAUUUUAUAUUUACAACAGAAAGGCUCUGAUUGAAUCGCAAAUCAAGGCUGCUAAAUCAUGAACGGACUGGCUGAGAAUGUUGGAAUUACCGUGAACUGAUUACUCCGCCUGAAACCAGAAAAUUAAAUUAAUUACAUUAUCACAAUAAAUUAUUUUUUAAUUAAUUUUCUUUCAAUUUUUUUUUAAUUACAAAAAUUAAAUUCUUUUAUUGAAAAUAUAAAAUUCAUAAAAAAAAUGGUUACCUGUCAUAAUCGUUGUAGUUACUAACAUUAGCUACUUCACGGGACCCACCACUACGACGUCCUCCACUGCCGUUCCUCUUUACCACUCUUUCCGUU